rnacentral:ncRNA from 2 species
GGUGCUGAAACGAAUAAACCUCAUAUAAUAGUAGGGAUAUGGCCUACGAGUUUCUACCCAAUUACCGUAAAUGAUUGGACUAUGAGGGAAAGUACGGUUUAU